rnacentral:rRNA from 1 species
CAGCAGCCCGAGUGGUGGUCGUUUUUAUUGGGCCUAAAGCGUCCGUAGCCGGUCUAGUAAAUCCUUGGAUAAAUCGUACAGCUUAAUUGUACGGCUCCCGGGGAGACUGCUAGACUUGGGACUGGGAGAGGUCGGAGGUACUCCAGGGGUAGGGGUGAAAUCUUGUAAUCCUUGGGGGACCACCAGUGGCGAAGGCGUCCGACUAGAACGGGUCCGACGGUAAGGGACGAAGCCCUGGGGCGCGAACCGGAUUAGAUACCCGAGUAGUCC